UGUGGUAUGGUAAGGUGUGCUGUGUUGUGUGUGUGGUAUGGUAAGGUGUGCUGUGUUGUAUUGUGGUAUGGUAAGGUGUGCUGUGUUGUGUUGUGGGCUACUGUAUUAUCUAACAUUUUCUCAUCCUAAAUCAUAUCUUAUGAAAAUGUAACAGGAAGCCCAGAGAUAUGGCUUAUGCUUCAUGUGGCAUCUAAAGGCAAAUUUCAGCCUCUCCUUCUGUUCUUCAGUAUCAGCUGCUUUAGUUUUAUAAAUUAAAGCACUAAUUUCUCGAUUUGUAAUACUGAAAUCCAUUAAAAACAUGUCACACGCAAGGCUGAAAUGGCUGCUGUUAAUUUGCAUGUAGGCUAAUGAGUAACUAAGUGGUCCUUCACGAAAGUGCAAUAAUUC
ensembl:lncRNA